rnacentral:lncRNA from 1 species
UGCACAACAAACUAUAAUAUUUUAGUUAAGUUAGACCUUUCAUUACCAUACAGUUAUAUUUGAAUGAUGCUGCCCUUGUGGUUGCACAAUGAAGCAACGUAUCCAAAAUACUGUAAGCAUCAAAUAUGCACUAAGAUAAUCCCACAUCAAUCUCCAUAGGAAGCUUUGUGGUUGCACAACAAACUCACUAUAGUUCUUGAUAUGAUAUUGGCUUA